AACGAACGCUGGCGGCACGCCUAACACAUGCAAGUCGAACGAGAUCUUCGGGUCUAGUGCGCACGGGUGCGUAACGCGUGGGAAUCUGCCCUUUGGUUCGGAAUAACAGUUGGAAACGACUGCUAAUACCGGAUGAUGACGAAAGUCCAAAGAUUUAUCGCCAGAGGAUGAGCCCGCGUAGGAUUAGCUAGUUAGUGUGGUAAAGGCGCACCAAGGCGACGAUCCUUAGCUGGUCUGAGAGGAUGAUCAGCCACACUGGGACUGAGACACGGCCCAGACUCCUACGGGAGGCAGCAGUGGGGAAUAUUGGACAAUGGGCGAAAGCCUGAUCCAGCAAUGCCGCGUGAGUGAUGAAGGCCUUAGGGUUGUAAAGUUCUUUUACCCGGGAUGAUAAUGACAGUACCGGGAGAAUAAGCUCCGGCUAACUCCGUGCCAGCCGCCGCAGUAA
rnacentral:rRNA from 1 species